rnacentral:rRNA from 1 species
UGCAAGUCGAGCGGUAACGGGUCCAGCUUGCUGGAUGCCGACGAGCGGCGGACGGGUGAGUAAUGCAUAGGAAUCUGCCCGAUAGUGGGGGAUAACCUGGGGAAACCCAGGCUAAUACCGCAUACGUCCUACGGGAGAAAGCGGGGGCUCUUCGGACCUCGCGCUAUCGGAUGAGCCUAUGUCGGAUUAGCUGGUUGGUGAGGUAACGGCUCACCAAGGCGACGAUCCGUAGCUGGUCUGAGAGGAUGAUCAGCCACACCGGGACUGAGACACGGCCCGGACUCCUACGGGAGGCAGCAGUGGGGAAUAUUGGACAAUGGGCGCAAGCCUGAUCCAGCCAUGCCGCGUGUGUGAAGAAGGCUUUCGGGUUGUAAAGCACUUUCAGUGGGGAAGAAAGCGUGCCGGCCAAUACCCGGUACGGACGACAUCACCCACAGAAGAAGCACCGGCUAACUCCGUGCCAGCAGCCGCGGUAAUACGGAGGGUGCGAGCGUUAAUCGGAAUUACUGGGCGUAAAGCGCGCGUAGGCGGCUGAGUAAGCCGGUUGUGAAAGCCCCGGGCUCAACCUGGGAAUGGCAUCCGGAACUGUUUAGCUAGAGUGCAGGAGAGGAAGGUAGAAUUCCCGGUGUAGCGGUGAAAUGCGUAGAGAUCGGGAGGAAUACCAGUGGCGAAGGCGGCCUUCUGGACUGACACUGACGCUGAGGUGCGAAAGCAUGGGUAGCAAACAGGAUUAGAUACCCUGGUAGUCCAUGCCGUAAACGAUGUCGACUAGCCGUUGGGUCCCUUGAGGACUUAGUGGCGCAGUUAACGCGAUAAGUCGACCGCCUGGGGAGUACGGCCGCAAGGUUAAAACUCAAAUGAAUUGACGGGGGCCCGCACAAGCGGUGGAGCAUGUGGUUUAAUUCGAUGCACGCGAGACCUUACCUACCCUU